CAGGCCUAACACAUGCAAGUCGAACGGGCAUCUUCGGAUGUCAGUGGCAGACGGGUGAGUAACACGUGGGAACGUACCCUUCGGUUCGGAAUAACUCAGGGAAACUUGAGCUAAUACCGGAUACGCCCUUUGGGGGAAAGGUUUACUGCCGAAGGAUCGGCCCGCGUCUGAUCAGCUAGUUGGUGAGGUAACGGCUCACCAAGGCGACGAUCAGUAGCUGGUCUGAGAGGAUGAUCAGCCACACUGGGACUGAGACACGGCCCAGACUCCUACGGGAGGCAGCAGUGGGGAAUAUUGGACAAUGGGCGCAAGCCUGAUCCAGCCAUGCCGCGUGAGUGAUGAAGGCCUUAGGGUUGUAAAGCUCUUUUGUCCGGGACGAUAAUGACGGUACGCGGAAGAAUAAGCCCCGGCUAACUUCGUGCCAGCAGCCGCGGUAAU
rnacentral:rRNA from 1 species